rnacentral:lncRNA from 1 species
UCCAGUUGUAAGAGUAAUAAGUUCUGGGAAUCUAGUGAAGAGUAUGAUGACCCUAGUUAACAGUAUUGUAUUGUUUACUUGAAAGUUGCUAAGAGACUAGGUCUUAAAUGUUCUCACCACAACAGCUACCAAAAAAUGGCAAUUAUGGUGGAUGUGCGAAUUAACCUUAUUGUGAUAAUCAUUUUGCUAUAUAUGUGUAUUAAAUCAUCACAUUUUACACCUUAAACUUACACAAUAUCGCAUGUCCAUUAUAUCACAAUAAAGCUGGGCAUGGGAGAGAAUAUUUUUCUAUCCAAGGACCCAGUUUUUCUCACUAUUUGCCUUCACUUAUUUUUCCAGCAGAAUUUCUCAGUUAAAAAAUACAGCUCCUAGAACAUUGCUUGGCACACUGUAGUUUGCCAGUAAAUACUAGUAUACUUGUUGAAUGCAUGAAAAUAUCUUUCACACUUUAAAAGCUUAUUCUUUUUUUUUUUUUUGUCUUUUUGCCUUUUCUAGGGCCAUUCCUGCGGCAUAUGGAGGCCCAGGAAAGACAAAAAAAUAAAAAAUAAAAGUAAAACACAGCCCAAAUCAGGGAGAGAGAAAGAAACAAAACCUUGUCUUCACUCUCUGCCUUCCAAAGUUCUGUCAGUACACUUCAUUGAAUAAUCAAUCCCAAAGAGACUCCAACCAGAAAUGGAGCUUGAGGGAUAUAGUCCUUAUGGAUAAGCCUCCUAGGGCAUAGAACAGGACUGAGGAAGGCAGGAAAUGGAUCAGGAGGUGGGGCAAAAUAUUUUUGUUUUCUCAGGGUCAAAAUUCUGAAAGAAGUAUUUUAUCAAGCCAGCUACUCUAACUUUAUAUGCAAAAAGGAGCCAUUUUGGAAUUUCAAGAGUUUCAUCUUAACCAAUUUUCUCUGGAGUCUAAAGAAUAUUGUGAAUAUGCAAUAUUUUAAAAAAUCAUUUUUUCCUUAGUCAUAGAUUUAUAGUUAUAAUCAAACCAUUUUUCCAAAAUCUAUUAGGAAUAGAUGAAAGGUUCCUCAGCCUUUAAAAACAGAAAGACAAAAUGAAAAUGGUGCCUCCCCCAAACCAAAUGCUAGCAUUCAAAGAAACAACAGACUGGUUCACAAAUUGGGGUACCACUCUCCUCUCCAAGAGGGUACCCCACACAAAUACAAAACAAAUGGGCUUAUUUGGGGGAGGAAGAGCCCAGGAUGGCAAUGAAUGGAGUUUUCAGUUGUGCACACCAAAGCGACUCGCUCUACUGUAUUGAGCCCCAAACAUCCGUCAGUUAAAAGAGAAAGAUUUAUUUAUCAAAAGGGGAUAUUACUGGAAACAAACAGACAGAGCCUUAUUUCCUUCACCACAGAAUUGAUAGUGCCACAGGCCAGUGACACCUGGU